AUGGCCCUGACUCCUCUCCUCCUCCUGCUCCUCUCUCACUGCACAGGUUCCCUCUCCCGGCCCGUGCUGACUCAGCCGCCCUCCCUGUCUGCAUCCCCGGGAGCAACAGCCAGACUCCCCUGCACCCUGAGCAGUGACCUCAGUGUUGGUGGUAAAAACAUGUUCUGGUACCAGCAGAAGCUAGGGAGCUCUCCCAGGUUAUUCCUGUAUCACUACUCAGACUCAGACAAGCAGCUGGGACCUGGGGUCCCCAGUCGAGUCUCUGGCUCCAAGGAGACCUCAAGUAACACAGCGUUUUUGCUCAUCUCUGGGCUCCAGCCUGAGGACGAGGCCGAUUAUUACUGCCAGGUGUACGAAAGUAGUGCUAAU